UGACUAGGGAUCGGUCACAACUUUGGACGGCGACGAUGCUAUUACCUGAUGGCAAGGAAUAUUGUUGACAUGGACAAGACUAUGGACGAGAGAUAUUUGAUAUGAUUCUAGACAUUUUUUAGCGAUAUUUGAAUCAGCUGAACCUCAAUUUUGUAGAGAUAAUUUUCAUAUUUUUUGUUAACAAUUGAUAAGAUCACGUUCUUGAUCUUUGUGCUGCUC
rnacentral:lncRNA from 1 species